rnacentral:rRNA from 1 species
GCCAGCAGCCGCGGUAAUACGAAGGUGGCGAGCGUGUUCGGAAUCACUGGGCUUAAAGGGCACGUAGGCGGACCUUCAAGCGUCUUGUGAAAUCCCUCGGCUCAACCGAGGAAUUGCGAGGCGAACUGUUGGUCUUGAGGCAGGCAGGGGCGCGCGGAACUCUUGGUGGAGCGGUGGAAUGCGUAGAUAUCAAGAGGAACGCCAGAGGCGAAGGCGGCGCGCUGGGCCUGUCCUGACGCUGAGGUGCGAAAGCCAGGGGAGCGAACGGGAUUAGAUACCCCGGUAGUCCUGGCCCUAAACGAUGUCCACUAGGUCGACGGCUCUCUGACGAGUUAUCGGCCGAAACAAAAGCGAUAAGUGGACCGCCUGGGGAGUACGGUCGCAAGGCUAAAACUCAAAGGAAUUGACGGGGGCUCACACAAGCGGUGGAGCAUGUUGCUUAAUUCGAUGCAACGCGAAGAACCUUAUCCUGGGCUUGACAUGUAUGGAUGCCUCCCUGGAAACAGGAUUGGUUGCCCUUCGGGGUGAAACAUACACAGGUGCUGCAUGGCUGUCGUCAGCUCGUGUCGUGAGAUGUCGGGUUAAGUCCCGUAACGAGCGAAACCCUUGUCGUUAGUUGCCAGCGUGUCUUCGGAUGACGGGGACUCUAACGAGACUGCCGGUGUCAAACCGGAGGAAGGUGGGGAUGACGUCAAGUCCUCAUGGCCUUUAUGCCCAGGGCUGCAAACGUGCUACGAUGACCGGGACAAACCGACGCGAGACCGCGAGGUGGAGCAAAUCGGUAAACCCGGCCUCAGUUCGGAUUGGAGUCUGCAACUCGACUCCAUGAAGUUG